rnacentral:misc_RNA from 1 species
GAACUGCGAUAAGUAAUGUGAAUUGCAGAAUUCAGUGAAUCAUCGAGUCUUUGAACGCACAUUGCGCCCCCUGGCAUUCCGGGGGGCAUGCCUGUCCGAGCGUCAUUGCUGCCCUUCAAGCCCGGCUUGUGUGUUGGGUCGUCGUCCCCUCCGGGGGACGGGCCCGAAAGGCAGCGGCGGCACCGCGUCCGGUCCUCGAGCGUAUGGGGCUUUGUCACCCGCUCGAUAAGGACCGGCCGGGCGCCAGCCGGCGUCUCCAACCUUUUUUUCUCAGGUUGACUUCGGAUCAGGUACGGAUACCCGCUGAACUUAAGC